rnacentral:lncRNA from 10 species
CCUGGGUGAAGCCAGCUGGGCUCCUGAGUGUGGUGGGGACGUGGAGAACCUUUAUGUCUAGCUCAGGGAUUGUAAACACACCAAUUGGCACUCUGUAUCUACCUCAAAGUUUGUAAACACACCAAUCAGCACCCUGUGUCUAGCUCAGGGUUUGUGAAUGCACCAAUCCACACUCUGUAUCUAGCUAUUCUGGUGGGGCCUUGGAGAACCUUUAUGUCUAGCUCAGGGAUUGUAAACGCACCAAUCAGCACCCUGUCAAAACAGACCACUUGGCUCUACCAAUCAGCAGGAUGUGGGUGGGGCCAGAUAAGAGUAUAAAAGCAGGCUGCCCUAGCCAGCAAUAGCAACGAAGUCGGAUUUGUUUCCAUGCUGUGACGGUUUUGUUUUUUUGCUUAUUGUAAUAGCUUUUGCUGUUGUACUCUUUUCUGGUCUACACUGCGUUUAUGAGUUGUAACAGUCGUCACAAAGGCCUGCAGCUUUCACUUUCUGCCUCAGCCAGCGAGACUGCAAACCCACCAAAAAAAAAACUUAACUGUCACACCCACCCUAAGGGUCUGCAGCUGGGUUU